GAGUUUGAUCCUGGCUCAGAACGAACGCUGGCGGCGUGCCUAACACAUGCAAGUCGAACGGAUUUGAGGAGCUUGCUUCUCAAGUUAGUGGCGCACGGGUGAGUAACGCGUAGAUAAUCUGCCUGGUGAUCUGGGAUAACACUUCGAAAGGGGUGCUAAUACCGGAUAAGCCCACGGAGUCUUUGGACUUUGCGGGAAAAGGGGGGGACCUUCGGGCCUUCUGUCAUCARAUGAGUCUGCGUACCAUUAGCUAGUUGGUAGGGUAAAGGCCUACCAAGGCUACGAUGGUUAGCUGGUCUGARAGGAUGAUCAGCCACACUGGAACUGAGACACGGUCCAGACUCCUACGGGAGGCAGCAGUGGGGAAUUUUGCGCAAUGGGCGAAAGCCUGACGCAGCAACGCCGCGUGAGUGAUGAAGGCUUUCGGGUCGUAAAGCUCUGUCGAGGGGAAAGAAGUGUAUUAGGGCUAAUAUCCCUGAUACUUGACGGUACCCCUAAAGGAAGCACCGGCUAACUCCGUGCCAGCAGCCGCGGWAAUAC
rnacentral:rRNA from 1 species